GCAGUCAGUGCUCUUACCCGCUGAGCCAUCUCUCCAGCCCAAAUUUGACUGUAUUUAAAACAUUUUAAUUGCAUUUGAUAGAUUUAUCUUUUGUGAAUAUGUGUAGAGGUCAGAAGACAAUUUGUGGAAAUCAACUCCCUCUAUCACAUGGGUCCACAGAUCUCGGUAGCAAGCCCCUUUACCCACUAAGCCUUCUUGUCUUUCCCUUGGCUGUUUUAAUGAUAGGAACAAGGAAGACUGGAUCCUAAAGAACAUUACCAAUUUGCUAAAUGCUAAAUGACACCUUCCUUUGUUUUUGUCAUCGCAGCUCUUAAACACAUCCAAAUCUUCGGAUUCCAAAGAUGCCCUCAUUUCUUUCACAAAACCCGCAUCCCAAGUGCUCCCUUCCCCUAACUGGUGCUCUAGAAUUUGCAUGAGUUCUCAUGCCAUGCCUGAGUUGUCCACUGGAGGGCGCUGUUUGAGAUAUGGGAUCCUGUUGAAGGAGAAACAUUCAUAAUGUCUACUAGAGGGCACUGCUUGGGACUUUAAAGGCCAUUAGAGAAGGCGCAUCUAGAGUGGAAGUCUUUGAGGGCACUGUGAAGUGGGAGAGGUGUAGGACAAGGGGUCCUAAACAGGGAAUUUCUGCUCUGGGUACUGGUUCCUGACCUAGGUUCUUCCAGUGCAGGACCAGAGGGCUCGGUUCUGGUCAGCUUAAUCUUAGGUUUGUUCGACUGGGUCUCUGAAAUAGCCAUUGAGUGACUCCACUGAAUCUAGGUUGUAGCUCUUCAAGAGUGGGGAACCCGAGGCUAGGCAAAGCACGUUCCUUUUUCUUUUUUUUCUUUUCUUUCUUUCUUUCUUUCUUUCUUUCUUUCUUUCUUUCUUUCUUUCUUUUUUAAUAUUUAUUUAUUUGUUAUAUGUAAGUACACUGUAGCUGUCUUCAGAAGAAGACAGCAUCAGAAGAGGGCAUCAGAUUUUGUUACGGAUGGUUGUGAGCCAACUCAGAACCUUUGGAAGAGCAGUCGGUGCUCUUAACCUCUGAGCCAUUUCACCAGCCCCACAUUCCUUUUCCUGCUCAUUGUUUUCUAUGUCCCUUACUUAAGAUUGUCCUAAAAUUCAAGGGUAGGGGCGUGGCUUAGUGGUAGAGCCCCUGCCUAGAAUCCCCCAGGGAGGGGCUGGGGGCGUGGCUCAGUGGUAGAGCCUCUGCCUAGAAUCCCCCAGUGGGGGGCUGGGGGCGUGGCUCAGUGGUAGAGCUCCUGCCUAGAAUCCCCCAGGGAGGGGCUGGGGGCGUGGCUCAGUGGUAGAGCCCCUGCCUAGAAUCCCCCAGGGAGGGGCUGGGGGCGUGGCUCAGUGGUAGAGCCCCUGCCUAGAAUCCCCCAGGGAGGGACUGGGGGCGUGGCUCAGUGGUAGAGCCCCUGCCUAGAAUCACCCAGGGAGGGGCUGGGGGCGUGGCUCAGUGGUAGAGGAUGUUGGUUUAGGAUGUGGAAAAUCCUGGGCUUCUACCCCCGCCCAGCACAGGGGAAGUCAAGGAAGACAAUGUCCCAUUAUUUCAGGAGCAGCCUUAGCCUUGGAUUACACUUUUGAAACCUGGAUGGCUGAGGGGUACUGCCUUUAUAGAACGGUGGGAAUAUCACUUUGGAAUAUCUUUUUAUCUUAAAAUAUUACAUCUUGAUAUUUAUUUAAAGUCUGUCUCUCUUUCUUUCUCUGUGUGUGUUCACAAGUGUACCAUGUCACAUGUGUGGUGGUCAGGGGAUACGUUUUGGGAGUGGUUUCCCUCUUUCUACCAUGUGGGUUCGGGGGGUAUGGAACUUGGGUCAUCAGGUCUGAUGCACCUUUGAGCUAUAACUUCAGUGACUGCGAAUAUUUGCCAUUGUACCCAGGAGAGGUGAGAGAGUACCAUUAGUGAGUUAACACAGACUCAGACGGCUCUCAGAGGCUGAGCAAAUUCUUCCCCUGCUGUAGCUUCCGUUUGUCCAUGGCCCAGGUCUUCUCUGAAGCUGUACUCUUCUCUGGCUCUGCUGACACCUUUCCUAGCAAGGAAGUGGUAUAAAAUGCUUGCUGAUGGGCACCUGCCCCAGGACUUCCCACUCACCAUUGUUGUUGAGCUCUUGGGGUUUCCAAGAUACCUGUGGCUCUCAAGCCCUCCCUUCUGUCCCUGCCCCCUGCAGAGAAUGAUCUGGAAGGAUUCUCUGUUUUGGAAUCUUUGAGAGCUGUUCUACUUUCAUUUCUGUUGCUCUGAUGAAACAACCUACGAAAAAACCAGCUUAAUAGAGAAGAGAUUAUUUUAGCUCUACCACUUGAGGUUACUAUCUGUGACUAUGGGGUUGUCAUAGGAGGGCACAGCUAAUCACAUCACAUCCAUGGUCAGUCAAGAGCAGAGAUACAGGGAUGCAUGUAGUUUACUUGGUUGCCCUGCUAGAUUUCUCCACUCUUAUGUAGCUUAGGGAAUGGUGCCACCCAUGGUGGGCAAAGUCUUUCCACAUCAAUUGCCUUAAGAAAAUCCCACAGAGAUGCUGGACAGCUAAAUGUUCCUUCAUUGGUUUCCCUGGAUGAUGGGCUGUAAC
rnacentral:lncRNA from 1 species